CAUUAAUUGUUUAUUGGUUAAAGGCGUUUCAUGUCACCCAGAGGGCAUUUGUGCAGAUUUAGGGGACAGGGGCUAAAGUAGUUUGGUUAUGAAAACAAUGUCUGUGAGUGAUGUCUGUUUAUGGCUCAAGGCCUCGACUGAAUUGUUUACUGUGCUUCACACAGCCUGAUAAGGAGCAGUGGUACAGAGUGAAAAUGAUGAAUUAACGGUGUGAGUUUUAUUUCGCAGCGCCACAUGUUUGUGAUUGAGACUUAAUUGAAGGAGGAUCACACUGGGGAAAAAAAAGGGAUUGGCCAGCCCUUGUGUAACAUAUGUGUUAAAUACCUGUGAAUUUCACCCAAAACACCUUCUUUUGGAUUAAAUAUGUCAUUUUGCAUCUCACUCUCCUACCUGUGGGAUCUGGGUCUGUGUGUGUGCGCUGCGUUGUGACGUAGGCGCGUGCAUGUGUGCCCCGGUCACAGCUCCUUUCAGCAUGGCCGGAGGAGAGGUGCACUGGCAGACACAUGACACACACGCAGAUCACAUCCAUAUUUCUGUGUUGCAGAUGUACAGUAAAGAGCCAAAGACCCAGUACUGUCUCCUGCCUCUUACUUUCACGCCAGAACACAACGCAACGACAGCAGGCGUAACACUUGAACGGGUUGCACUUGGAUUUUAUUUACUUGGAUUUACAGUCUGUGAGCUGCAAAUGUUUGUAUGAAGGACAGAAAAAAAAGGUCAGUGUGAAGAGUGUCUGUGUGUUUGAACAAUAAACUACUGGAUAAUUUGAUCCUGUUGUUUCAUGAAUGAGUCUCAGUCGCUCGUUACUUUGGUAUAAAUUAUUUAUUCUUUAAUUUGUGUUGUUGGCAGAGAAGCUACAUCAUGUGAACUUCAUCAUCAUGUCACAUGUCAUCACAGAUUCAAAAGAUGUAAUAUUUGUGCCCCCAGACACCAAAACAUUGCCAGCAAAUUGAAACAGAAAAAAAAAACUGUAAGCAAAAAAAAAGAUGUAAGCAUGAAAACUUUUUUUCUGUUUUAAUGUCAAUAUUUACAGUGUCAAUUAAUCUUUUUUCAUGAUCAAUAUAUUUAUUUCAAUUGCAAUAUUAUUUUUCAGUUUCAUUUUAAGGUGGCAUCGUUUUAACCCCAACAAAACAAAACAAAAAUGACAGAAAGUCUGAUGUUUCCAUCCUCAGUAUUGGAAACAUGUUAAACUGCAUUUCCUAUAAAAUAAAAUAGAAUCAUAAUAAUCAUGGGAAUUUAUUGAUCUAAAUUCUGUUCUAGAUUGAGUGGCAAAAAAAAAAGAAGAGCUGCUGUUUGUUUGUGCAAGUGCAAGAAAUACACAUAACAUCCUUCUGCUAAUGUUUAAUAUACUGAAAUUAAUUCUAAUUAAUGAAAUUAAUGCCCUAAUAAAUUCAAAGAACUGAAGAUAAACAGGCCACAGGAAGCACUUUGUCACCUAUGCUGUGAUGUAAACUGUCGUGGUCCCUCAGACCUCGUCAUGUGAUCUGACAUUUACUGUUUGAUUUUGUUUGUUGUCAGGCAAUCAAAAUAUUCAUCAUUGUAAAAACUUUAUCAUGAAGCAUUUUUGAUGAGCUACAUUCCUCUUAAGUUUUGGUUUGGUUAUUUAUUCAUUUCCAUCCUUGUUCUUAUUGAUUUGACCAUCACAGCACUAUGAACUGUGGGUAAUCCCUCAGGUCCACAGAGAUGAGGACUUAUAGAAAAUGUGAAUAAGGACUCAAAGUGUGUGCAGAGAGCAGUCAUGCACUUGAUAACAUGGCAACAGGACGGCCCUGAGCCCUCAGAGGCCGACACAAAGCUGUGACUGUUUAUCUGCACGUCUCAAACACUCCUCCAUUUGUCUGCAUGCUAAGUGACCCGACUGAGCUCAGGGCACCUGGCUGCAGCCACAGGGGGAGCGCCAUAUUGCGACCUCCACACUAACCGGAAACACGUCACUUCAGUUAAAUUGACUUUGAGAGCAAAAACUAAAUUGUGUAUUUGUAACUAUUGAUGCUGCUGAUAAAUAAAUUUGGUUCUAAGUGUUUUUUAACACUCUGGGUUUGUUAAAAAAAAAAAAUCACCAUCCCUUCAGCUUGUUCGUGGCCAAAAGUGUCCAUGUGUUAUGUUUUUGUUUCUUUGCUACUUUUUCUUUACAUAUAUCAUAUCACAAAUCACAUACAAGGAGACAGGAGGAAGCAGAACUGAAAACAAUAACAAAACAAUUGUUAUUGUUAGAUUGUUAAUAUUAGAUUGUUAAUAUCAACAAUCUAAUAUCAAUCCUAGAUAUUAGGGUGCAGGAAUGACAGGUGCAGAGGCCAUGCACAGAACUUGACUGCAUGCAGAGGUGGAGCCCCUUACCCUACCCAAGUUAAAUAAAUGUUAGUGUUUGAAAAAAAUGUACCUCUAAAAUACUUUUAUUGCACCAUGUUCAUUCACUCAUGUGCUGUUGUAACAUGAAUCAACAGGCUGAUUUGGCACCUCAGCAUGCAGUCACGUGCUAUAGAGUUUUACUGAUAACCUACUAAUUUUAUUCAGUUAUGUUGCAGCAGGGAAACAUGGAAAAGUUUCGGGACACCGACCCUCGAGUUUGACACCCGUGCUCUUAGUGCUUCUUAGUCUUCUGGGUGUUGAUCCUGCUCAGUCUGAAGGUGUGAUGCCAGGUCAGAUGGCCCAGGAUGUGAGUGGGCGUUAAGGCGUCUGGGAAGGGAUCUCAAAACUGGAUUAUAGAUGGCAGACAGUUGGUGUCAUAAAAGACUGCCUCUGU